rnacentral:rRNA from 1 species
GACGAACGCUGGCGGCGUGCUUAACACAUGCAAGUCGAACGGAAAGGCCCUGCUUUUGUGGGGUGCUCGAGUGGCGAACGGGUGAGUAACACGUGAGUAACCUGCCCUUGACUUUGGGAUAACUUUAGGAAACUGGGGCUAAUAUCGGAUAGGAGCUCCUGCUGCAUGGUGGGGGUUGGAAAGUUUCGGCGGUUGGGGAUGGACUCGCGGCUUCUGAGCUUGUUGGGGGGGUAGUGGCUGACCAAGGCUUGGAAGGGUAGCCGGCCUGAGAGGGUGACCGGCCACAUUGGGACUGAGAUACGGCCCAGACUCCUACGGGAGGCAGCAGUGGGGAGUAUUGCACAAUGGGCGGAAGCCUGAUGCAGCAACGCCGCGUGGGGGAAGACGUCCUUCGGGUUGUAAACCGCUGUCGCCUGUGACAAAGCGUGAGUGACGGUAAUGGGUAAAGAAGCACCGGCUAACUACGUG